rnacentral:rRNA from 1 species
CGCGUAGGCGGGUGUUUAAGUCAGAGGUUAAAUCCCAGGGCUCAACCCUGGAACUGCCUUUGAUACUGGGCACCUAGAGUUCGGGAGAGGUGUGUGGAACUCCGAGUGUAGAGGUGAAAUUCGUAGAUAUUCGGAAGAACACCAGUGGCGAAGGCGACACACUGGCCCGAUACUGACGCUGAGGCGCGAAAGCGUGGGGAGCAAACAGGAUUAGAUACCCUGGUAGUCCACGCCGUAAACGAUGAGUGCUAGUUGUCGGCAUGCAUGCAUGUCGGUGACGCAGCUAACGCAUUAAGCACUCCGCCUGGGGAGUACGGUCGCAAGAUUAAA